GGUUUUAUUUUAUUUUAUUAAUUUUUUGGUUGAUUUAGGUAAAGGCUUGGGUUACGAAAGCUUCAAAGAGUAUAUCAUCAUUUUGGAAGGUCUGUGAAAAGAACUUAGGUUACAAUGCAAAUGAUUCUGAUUCGGAUGAGUCAAAAGGCGAUUUGAAAUAAAGAUCAAUAAGAUAUGUUUUAUUUAAACGGAAGAGUCUAGGUGAGUUAAAUAUCUUUCAGAUCUAUCAUGGUGUUGAAAUUGCUUGACAAAUCAUGAGUACAAAUUUUCAAAUUUUAUAUGUUUUAGUUUAUGCAAACUCAUGGUACAAGGAAGCCAUCCCUCGAGUUCUUUGUUCUAUCAUUUUAAUGCAAUAAUGUCAUUUCUUGAGCUCUUUGUUCAUUUGAUUAUUUUAGAACAAAAAGAAGGAAUAAGGAGAGGAGUUAUGUAAUAUACUCCUCUCAAAUCCUUUAUUUCUAAUGAUAUUCAGUUACAAGAGAAAUUGUAUUCAAUGCUUGUCACAAGAAAUUGUAAAGUGCAUUUGAGCUAAUAACAUGACACUCCUUGUGGAUGGGCCCCUUGGGGUCCAUAACAUGUUUUAGUCAUGUAAAUGGAUCGAAGCUAGUAAGAGGGUCAUUAGAUUUUUUUUUUUUUUAGAUGUAUGGAUACAAAACUAAAAAAGCAUCACUUUUUUUUUUUUUUCCUUUUUCCAUUUCUUCGUUAAAACUAAUAUUCUCAGCAUUCUUCACUUUUAUGUAAGAGAUUUGGUCACCAUCACCAAAAUACAAGUUUCAUAACAUGGAUGCUUCACACCUGAAAAAUCUUCCAUUAACAAAAAAAAUCAGUUUGUUUGACUAUCACGUAGGCCACAUGUACAAAUAAAAAAGGAUGGUGUACACUACAACAAAAUCGGGCAUUGCCGGUGCUUGGGGCUAACCUUCUUGGAAAGGUUAUAUUUCUGCAUCCUGCUACUCUACAUCCUCACAUUUACAGCAAUGGCCACAUCUUUUUAGCAGGGAUUUUAAAGCUAUAAGUGGUCACCUCCGAACAAUAACUUGGCUAUGCUUAGGAUAUUGCUACUUUCAAUUCAUAAACUCUAGUAUGCAAUUUGAAUAACCGAAGUCAGCUGAUAUGAGUGCCAAAUACCCAGCAUAUGCUAAAAAGCUCCCUGAAAUAUACUGUAACUGUUGGCCUGGCUUCUUUCAAUACAAGAUUUAUUGUUUAAGUACCUAGAAUUCUCUCGCCUAUUAUUUUCUAAGAAAGAUUCAGUGAUGAUUCUGCAAUAGGUAUACCUGACAUGGCAUCCAUUCUUACUUCAACACCCCUCACCUUACUUUGCUUAGGAUGUGUUUCAGAUAAAUUAUUAAGUGUUCUGCCAGAGUUUUCAUUUCACUUGAUAUACAGUUUGUUCUGUUUUUUACAAGAGUGGCUUGCCCAGAAGAAAAUAUUGAUAUUCUAAAUUGGUUUUUGAAUGUCAGACAUUGUGUGGAGACAAAGCCCGUUUUUGAUUGUCAAUGAAGCGGUUUUUGCUUUGGGAGAGUACAAGAUGAUUUUAGAUAUUCAAAGGGGGUUGUUGCUGGUCUUCACCAGAGGCAAUCACAGGUUGGGCUAAUUGAAUCAUGCGAAAGGAAUCUUAUAUGUAUUUUUUCCGUGUGGCACUCAUCAGUUUGGGUUUAUAUUGAAACAACCACAGUUGAAACCUUCCUGGAGUGAACCAUGAUGUUUUAUAUUGCAUAAUUUUAUACUACUGGGAUCAACUGAAAAAAAGAAGAAUUAUAAGCUAGAUCCAAAGCUUCUAUGGGGCUAUGAAGGUUUUGAUGUUUCAUCUACAGACGGUUGGAUUCACUUCUUUCAAAGACGAGAGACUUCUUUGAAAGUGGGGAUUAUGUUCUUCUAUCAAACAUGUAUGCAUGUGCUGGCCAAUGGAACAAAGUAACAAGAGUGAGAGAGGCAAUGAGAAACAGAGGAGUUCGGAAACCAGAGCCAGGUAAUUUGUUGGGGUCCACCUGGUGAACAGCCUAGAUCCCGCUUGUAGGUUUAGAAAAGGGGAGAUACUUGUUGCUGGAGCCUGCAUUGAAUUGCAGUCAGUUCUCUUGCCAUUAUAUAAACUGGAACAAGAAUUCCAACAGUCCUCAACAACAGCAGCUGUUUGUCAGAGUGGGGUAGCCUGAUUUUUUUGGUGAGGCAUUGAAAAAGGAUUUCUAUGAGGAUCUAUUUGAGGAGCUGAGCAAGUAGAGAGAUUUUGAGAGCCUUAAUAUCCGUGACAAUUUGGCUGACCACAUGGUGGGUAAUGUAUAUUUUCAUCAGCUGCACAUGCACUACCGCCACUCCUGGAACGAGAUUGCAGUGCUGGAUAAUCAAAGAAAUAAACUCAAGAAGCUAGUACUUACGAAGUAUUAAUAGGUCAAACGCUGUAGUUUGGCUUCAGAAAACAAGCUCAAAACAAGAGAAAUCUGCCUUAUUUAUGAAAGUGGGGAUCGUUGCUCUUCUAUUCCAAAUCCUUAACACAUAUUCCUUCUUUCUCAGUUUCCUUGUUUUCAUUGUUUCUUGCUUAUAUCAAGCCUUUGAGCCCCUCCUUGGAAAUGGAACUAUGUAUCCCUUGACAAGGAGCAGUCUGGCCAUGGAGGUCUUAAUCUUUCAAUAUGAUGCAGCCCUUAUGCAAAUCCACUUAUGGAAAUGCCAUACUUGUAAUUUUGAAACAAAAAAUAUCCCACGAGCGGGCCUAGUGAAAUUGCAGGUGACUGAUUCUCAUGCUUGUCACAUCCAAGAUCUGUUAUUAUUCUGAUUUUCUGUGAAAGAGUUGUGGUUAGUGAUGAGAUAAAUGCUACAGGCCCUUCUUUUGGGGUGAGGAAUAUAUGUUACCUUGUGAAAAAAGCAGAGAAGAAAUGGUGGAGUAGGCUGUUAAAGCAGGAAGGGAAGCCUCCUGUGUUUUUGAAAGUAGACUGGGACAAAUGGGUCAAUGAAGAUGAAGAGCAAGAACACAAAUGUAAGUUGUCCACCCCUUUUUCAUCUUGAACACUUACCUUUUUAUGCAUUUUUUUGUAUGCCAGGUUUCAUCUUGAACAUGAAUCAUUUGUAGUUUUUUGAAGCUAUGUUGUUUUCAAACAUGUAUAGAUACCUGAUGAAUUGACCACCGACUGUUUGUGAAGACGUUCAGAGGUAAUGUGCAUCUGCAACCCAUGUAGUAUCAUGAGCAGUAGCACCAUUGUGCAUAGUAUAGGCUUAUAAGAAAAAUAGAAUCCUGGAAGAAAUUAGUACUGACAGGAGAUCUAG